ensembl:lncRNA
CUUUAGGAUCCUAGUCAGAAGGGCAGGCACGGCAGGCCUGUGGCGCAGGUGGCUGUCCCAGCCUCAGGAAUGUGCCGAGUAAUUUUCUUUUAAAUAUUAUUACUCAAAUGGCAACAGACAAUUUCAGGGCUCUGGCGGAGAAUCUGAGGACCGCGGAGACGCAAGCCCGACCGGGCAACCCCUGGGGCCUCCAGGCCGGAGAGGGGACCGCCUCUGGGAGCCAGGAGUCCCGGCCGGGGACCGGGUGACUCGGGGCGCUCGGGCUGCUCCGGGGGCCUGGAGGCGCGAGGCCCCGGGCCGCAGCGCAGCCCCAGCCCGGCCCGCCAGCAGGUGGCGCUGUGCGCGGUCCUCAGACGCUGCGCGCCCAGGCGUGGUACACCGCGAGCAGUCCGACCCCAGGCCCGGCGCGGCCCAGACAGUGUUCCCAGGGGCUCCCGCCGGCGGCACGGCAGUGAUUCCCCAGGCCCACCCCGUCCGGCCGGAGGUGCGUGCGGCACCGUGGCGGCGGGGCCGGGGUCUGAGCGAGGGUGCUGGGGCGCCCCGAGCGGGAGACGCACGCUAGCCGGACGGGGGGACGGGGCCUCCCGCCUUCCCAGGCCAGGAAGUGGGCCGUCCGGAUCCGGGUCGCUCCGCCUCGCUGCGUGGGCCGGGAAGAGAAUCAGCAUCACUGUGGAGUGAGGGGCCUCUGCCAGCCAAUCGUGCUGACAUGAAAACACACAAAACCGCCAUCCACAGAUGUGCACACACGCACGCCUCGCCAACACAGCUUCAGCUCAUUUGCAAAACCCAAAGCUGCUUGCAGGUGAGCUGGUGAACGAGAAGCAGGAAGAGGAAGCUCUUGAGGAAACAGUCAGCUCCGCCCCUGCGAGAAUGAGGCCGAACCCAAACCGCAGUGGAAAUGUCAGCACUGAGGAGGCGCAUCGCGGCUUGGCUUGUGGUGGACCCACUGCAUUUAUUGUAACUGGGUAACCCGAGUCUGUCCUGUCCCCAGUCCCCAGCACCACUGCCCCAUUCUAACAGGGUCAGCCAAGUUAAUUCUGCUAUGGAAAAGUGAAAGGAAAAGAGACACCAUAUUAAAGAAUCUUACCACAGUGAUAUAUGCACACCCAUGUUCAUAGCGGCACAGUGCAUAAUAGCUAAAGCUUGGAAACAGCCCAAGUGCCCGUCAACUGGAAACUAGAUAAAGAAGAUGUGGGUUUUUUUAUAAAAUGGAGUACUACUCAGCCAAAGGAAUGAGAAACUAGAGGCAUUUUAUAGCUAAAUGGAUGCAUAUUGAGGCCAUCCUCUUAAGUGAAAUAAAUAGGACACACACACGUGUAAAUACCGAAUCGUUUCUCUAGUGUGAGAAACUGAAACUGUAAUUAAGGAUUAAAAUGCUUAAAAUGAAUAAUGGAUAAUUUGAAAUAAGAAGAAAAGGUCCAAAGGGGUUGGGGAAGUAGGAGGGGUAAGGGAAAGGAAAAAUGAGAAAUGGAAAAAAUGGAAACAAAGUCUUUGUAAAUAGGGAAGGGUGGAGGGGUGCAGGGAGGACAGGGAAUGGGGAAAAAAUAAGAACCAAGAUGCAUCAUGCACAGGUACAAGCACCCAAUGAUAAAUGUAAAUGUAUUGUAUACCUAAAAUGUACCAAUAAAAGAAUUUAAG